rnacentral:rRNA from 1 species
UACAGAGGGGGCAAGCGUUAUUCGGAAUUAUUGGGCGUAAAGGGCGCGUAGGCGCCUGGCAAGUGGAUGGUGAAAUCCCUCGGCUUAACCGAGGAACUGCCAUCCAGACUGCUUGGCUUGAGACCGGGAGAGGUGAGUGGAAUUCCCAGUGUAGCGGUGAAAUGCGUAGAUAUUGGGAGGAACACCAGUGGCGAAGGCGGCUCACUGGACCGGUACUGACGCUGAGGCGCGAAAGCGUGGGGAGCAAACGGGG